GCACGGACACACACAGGUACGGACACAAACAGGUACGGACACACACAGGUAGGGACACACACAGGUACGGGCACACACAGGUACGGACACACACAGGCACGGACACACACAGGCACGGACACACACCGGUACGGGCACACACAGGUACGGGCACACACAGGUACGGACACACACAGGUACGGACACACACCGGGCACGAACACACACAGGUACGGACACACACCGGUACGGACACACACAGGUGCGGACACAAACAGGCACGGACACACACCGGUACGGACACACGCAAGCACGGACACACACAGGCACGGACACACACAGGUACGGACACACACAGGCACGGACACACACAGGUGCGGACACACACAGGUACGGACACACACAGGUACGGACACACACAGGUACGGACACAAACAGGCACGG
ensembl:lncRNA